GCAAAUUGUAUCUCAAAUUGUAGUCGAAAGGAUGAAGAUUCAAAUAAGGGUCAAUCGGUGAAACUGACAUUACCAGCUUAUAAAUGGCGAUUAGUUAUUGCUUACGACGGUACCAGAUUUUCAGGAUGGCAGUAUCAGCAGUCGACACCAACUGUACAGUGCAUUUUGGAAGAAGCUCUGACUAAAAAAACGAAAAUAAACCGUAAAGAACUUUGUGUAGUUGGUGCGAGCCGGACAGAUGCAGGAGUUCAUGCAUGGGGUCAGGUGGCACAUUUCAUUACACCUUUCAACUAUGAAACACUAGACGGCGUUCAUAGAGCUAUAAAUGGUCUUCUUCCUUCUGACAUCAGAGUUAGAGAAUUUAGCCCUGCAGGACCUGAGUUUCAUGCGCGUUUCUCUGUUACAAGCAAGAUAUAUUGCUACCAAGUAUAUAAUUCCACUAUCCUGGACCCAUUCUUGAGGCACUAUGCUUACCAUAGUGAGUAUAAACUCAAUGCUGAUGUCAUGAGAGAUGCCGCAAAGCAUUUCGUGGGGAAACAUGACUUUUCUGCCUUUGCCAAUACAUCACGAAAUGACCGGGUGCCAAAUCCAGUGAAGACGAUAUUGCGCUUUGAUGUUGUUGAAAAGGGACCUCUUUUGCGGCUAGAAGUUGAAGGUUCUGGUUUCCUAUAUAGACAAGUUCGGAACAUGGUCGCUUUGUUGCUUCAAGUUGGACGGCAAGCAGUUCCACCAGAUAUUGUUGUUAGGAUUUUGGAAUCUCGUGAUAGGAAGGAACUUGCUAAGUAUACCUUGUUACUUCCACCUCAUGGACUCAGUCUCGAGACUGUCAAGUAUAAUGAAGAACAUCUCAUACUUCCA
rnacentral:misc_RNA from 1 species